rnacentral:rRNA from 1 species
GACGACGACUCCUACGGGAGGCAGCAGUGGGGAAUCUUGGACAAUGGGCGCAAGCCUGAUCCAGCCAUGCCGCGUGAGUGAUGAAGGCCCUAGGGUCGUAAAGCUCUUUCGCCAGGGAUGAUAAUGACAGUACCUGGUAAAGAAACCCCGGCUAACUCCGUGCCAGCAGCCGCGGUAAUACGGAGGGGGUUAGCGUUGUUCGGAAUUACUGGGCGUAAAGCGCGCGUAGGCGGACUGGAAAGUUGGGGGUGAAAUCCCGGGGCUCAACCCCCGGAACUGCCUCCAAAACUCCCAGUCUUGAGUUCGAGAGAGGUGAGUGGAAUUCCGAGUGUAGAGGUGAAAAUUCGUAGAUAUUCGGAGGAACACCAGUGGCGAAGGCGGCUCACUGGCUCGAUACUGACGCUGAGGUGCGAAAGUGUGGGGAGCAAACAGGAUUAGAUACCCUGGUAG